rnacentral:lncRNA from 1 species
CCGGGUUUGGGGUGCUACAUCAUGAGUUAGAACCGCAGAGAUUUAGGCUAAGGUUCUCGAGGCUUGAAUCUUAGAUGUCAUCUUUACCAACAAAUAUCCCGAGAUGGUUAGGUAGCAUGGAGAAUUGGAAAUGGACUCAAAUUUAUGAUGAGGGGUUUUGGUCUGGCCAGAUGACGACCAACCUCAUAGAGGUGGUUAACUCCAUCUUGAGGCAGACACGUCAUUUGCCAAUUUCUGCUAUUUUC